ACGUCUCUAAAUGAAAAGAACAAAACAACAAAAAAUCAAAUACCUUCAUCAGGAAAGGCCCUGAAUGUUUAUUUGAACAUUUCUAAUGCUAAGGAAGUUGGCAUUGAAAUGCUAACUUACAACUUGCCCUAAGUAAGUUAGUAUGACCUUAUUUCUUACAUUAGAGGAGCAACCCUAACCUGUUCGGUAAUAUGCUCCCCUCUAUGCCUGACGCUUAGGAAAUUUGCAAUAAACUGCCAAUUUAUGCUGCGUUCCAGAAAAGUUUUCCGACCUCCGACCAGUGAUGUCAGAUUGAAGCAACUGUGAAGUUGGAGUAGAUAUUUUUUCUGACUUCGUGAUUUGGACCUCCCAGUUUGAGAGGCGUUCCAUUAUUUCUGUCCUGUUAUAAUGUUGGUUUGACCUGACUCAUGAGAAUCCAUGACCUGACAAGAUGUAUUUGAAGAUACUCAGUAUACAGUAUGCACGUAUAUACAGUAAACGAACAAGUCUUUUAGACACAUUGCUCCAUCUUGUGAUCGUUUUUUUAAACUCGCUGAUCUGUCCCAAAAACCCUGAUCGUGUAAAGCCUAAACAACGUGUUUUGUACUGACUGCGUGAGGAUAUGCCGCUGUCUGUAUGAAGUUAUUCAGUGAAAUGUAAGAAAUGCGUAUGAUAUUAAUGUAUAUAAAUAAAGCAAAUUAUGAUUUUA